rnacentral:rRNA from 1 species
UCCGUAGGUGAACCUGCGGAAGGAUCAUUACCGAGUGCGGGCCCUCUGGGUCCAACCUCCCAUCCGUGUCUAUCUGUACCCUGUUGCUUCGGCGUGGCCACGGCCCGCCGAAGACUAACAUUUGAACACUGUCUGAAGUUUGCAGUCUGAGUUUUUAGUUAAACAAAAAUUAAAACUUUCAACAACGGAUCUCUUGGUUCCGGCAUCGAUGAAGAACGCAGCGAAAUGCGAAAAUUAAUGUGAAUUGCAGAAUUCAGUGAAUCAUCGAGUCUUUGAACGCACAUUGCGCCCCCUGGUAUUCCGGGGGGCAUGCCUGUCCGAGCGUCAUUGCUGCCCUCAAGCACGGCUUGUGUGUUGGGCUUCCGUCCCUGGUAACGGGGACGGGCCCAAAAGGCAGUGGCGGCACCAUGUCUGGUCCUCGAGCGUAUGGGGCUUUGUCACCCGCUCCCGUAGGUCCAGCUGGCAGCUAGCCUCGCAACCAAUCUUUUUAACCAGGUUGACCUCGGAUCAGGUAGGGAUACCCGCUGAACUUAAGCAUAUCAAAAAGCGGAGGAAAAGAAACCAACAGGGAUUGCCUC